CCUACGGGACGCAGCAGUGAGGAAUAUUGGUCAAUGGGCGUGAGCCCGAACCAGCCAAGUCGCGUGAGGGAAGACGGUCCUAUGGAUUGUAAACCUCUUUUGCCGGGGAGCAAAAAGCGGUACGUGUACCGCAUCGAGAGUACCCGGAGAAAAAGCAUCGGCUAACUCCGUGCCAGCAGCCGCGGUAAUACGUAGGUGGCGAGCGUUAUCCGGAAUGAUUGGGCGUAAAGGGUGCGUAGGCGGCCUGCUAAGUCUGGAGUGAAAGGUACCGGCUCAACCGGUACAGGCUCUGGCAACUGGCGGGC
rnacentral:rRNA from 1 species